rnacentral:lncRNA from 1 species
UUCUUCAUAAAUUUUAUUUACAUUGGAAACAAUUUCAUACAUUUUAUUUAAAUAGAAAUGAUUUUAUACAUUUUUUUUCAAUUAGAAAUGAUCUAACACUCCCUGGUAGUCUAGUGGUUAGGAUUCUGCGUUCUCACGCCACGGCCCGCGUUCCAUUCCCGGUCAGGGAAGCAAGCUAAUCCCUUCUUGCCGGGCGUAGGUGCGCAGCACUCGGGAAGCAUAGGUAGGCAGAUCUCUGUGAGUUCGAGGCCAGCUUGGUCUCCAGAGCCAGUGCCAGGAAAGGCUCCAAAGCUGCACAGAGAAACCCUGUCUUGAAAAACAAAAAAACAAAAAAAUCAAAAAUUAAAAAACCACCCCAAAACAUGUCAACUAUGGGUCUUCCCUUUUUUUGUUGUUUUUUUUGUUUGUUUGUUUGUUGUUUGUUUUUGUUUUUCGAGACAGGGUUUCUCUGUGGCUUUGGAGGCUGUCCUGGAACCAGCUCUUUUUUUUUUUUUUUUUAAAGAUUUUUAUUUAUUUAUUAUGUGUACAACAUUCUGCACACCAGAAGAGGGCACCAGCUCUUAUAAUGGAUGGUUGUGAGCUACCGUGAGAUUACUUGUAACCGAGCUCAGGACCUCUGGAAGAGCAGUCAGCGCUCUUAACCUCUGAGCCCUGGAACUAGCUCAUGUAGAUCAGGCUGGUCUCAAAUUCAGAGAUCUGCCUGCCUCUGCCUCCCGAGUGCUGGAAUUAAACGCCCAGUGGGUCUUCCGUUUUUUUGCCUUCGUUAACGGAAGUACGAGAGGUGUUUUCGAGGCCUCAAGAUGGGCCGGAGCCAGUAUAUGGCAGAGUCCUGGCAACAACCAAAAUGAAUCAUCUUAUGGCCCACAGGGGGAUACUUGGAGUCCUCAAGGUGCCUGUUGGGGUACAGGCAGAGUUGGAAUGAGGGCAUUGCUUUGUCUGUGUAAAUGUGGGCUUCAGGCGGGAUGCUGGUAGGGCCUUCUGAUGAUGCACUCUCCUUAAUCUGGGGUGGACUGUCAUCUACUCCACCAUGAAGUGACCACUGGCAUUGACGUUGAGGUGACUGCUGGUGUUGGGCUUGAGGUGACAGCUGACGAUGGACUUGAGGUGACUGCUGGUGUUGGACUUGAGGUGACGGCUGGUGUUUGAGUUGACGUGACUGCUGGUGUUGGGUUUGAGGUGACUGCUGAUGUUUGACUUGACACCUCAAGUCCAACACCUCAAGACCGACACACUGCUGGUGUUUGAGUUGAGGUGACUGCUGGUGUUGGGUUUGAGGUGACUGCUGGUGUUGGGUUUGAGGUGACUGCUGGUGUUGGACUUGACACCUCAAGUCCAACACCUCAAGAUCAACACACUGCUGGUGUUGGACUUCAGGUGACAGCUGGUGUUGGACUUGAGGUGACGGCUGGUGUUUGAGUUGACGUGACUCAAGUGGGACUUGAGGUGACGGCUGGUGUUGGGUUUGAGGUGACUGCUGGUGUUGGGUUUGAGGUGACUGCUGGUGUUGGACUUGACAGCUCAAGUCCAACACCUCAAGACCAACACACUGCUGGUGUUGGACUUGAGGUGACAUCUGGUCUUGGAAUUGAGGUGACUCAAGUGGGACUUGAGGUGACAGCUGGUGUUGGACUUGAGGUGACAGCUGGUGUUGGACUUGAGGUAAAUGAAGUAGGACUAGUGGUGGCAUCUGGUUUUGGACUUGAGUUAACUGGAGUGAGACUAGAGGUGACAGCUGGUGUUGGACUUGAGGGAACUGCUGGUAUUGAACUCCAUGUGAUGGCAAGUGUUGGAAUAGAGGUGACUGCUGACUUUGGACUUGAGGUGAUUGUUGAAACUGAAAUUGAGGUAACUCCUGAAGCUGUAGUUGACAUAUCUGCUGAUGUUGCUCUCGUUCUUGGGGUAACAGCUGGUGUUGCUCUCGUUCUUGGGGUGACUGGUGGUGUUGCUCUCGUUCUUGGGGUAACAGCUGGUGUUGCUCUCGUUCUUGGGGUGACUGGUGGUGUUGCUCUCGUUCUUGGGGUGACAGCUGAUCUUGCUCUUGUUCUUGGGGUGACUGGUGGUGUUGCUCUUGUUCUUGGGGUGACAGCUGAUGUUGCUCUCGUUCUUGGGGUGACAGCUGAUGUUGCUCUUGUUCUUGGGGUGACUGGUGGUGUUGCUCUUGUUCUUGGGGUGACUGGUGGUGUUGCUCUUGUUCUUGGGGUGACUGGUGGUGUUGCUCUUGUUCUUGGUGUGAAUCAUGAUGUUUCUCUUGGUCUUGGGGUGAUUGCUGGUAUUGCUGUUGUUCUUGGGGUAACUGGUGGCUUUGUUCCAGGUCUUGUUCUUUGCCUUGAGGUGACUGAUGGUGUACUUGUUUCUGCUGAGUGUCACAUUUGAGUCUCUUACGUUUCGCUCGUUGGUUCUUGAACCAAACCUAAGUGGAAAAGAGAGCCAUGGGGUUGAGUGGACACUGACUUCAG